UGGGGAAUAUUGGACAAUGGGGGCAACCCUGAUCCAGCAAUGCCGCGUGUGUGAAGAAGGCCUUCGGGUUGUAAAGCACUUUAGGCGGGGAAGAAGAUUAGUAGUUUAAGAGAUAGCUAAUUUGACGGUACCCGCAGAAUAAGCACCGGCUAACUCUGUGCCAGCAGCCGCGGUAAUACAGAGGGUGCAAGCGUUAAUCGGAUUUACUGGGCGUAAAGGGCGCGUAGGUGGUUAUGUAAGUGAGAUGUGAAAUCCCCGGGCUUAACCUGGGAACUGCGUCUUAUACUGCAUAGCUUGAGUACAUGAGAGGGUAGUGGAAUUUCCGGUGUAGCGGUGAAAUGCGUAGAUAUCGGAAGGAACACCAGUGGCGAAGGCGGCUACCUGGCAUGAUACUGACACUGAGGCGCGAGAGCGUGGGGAGCAAACAG
rnacentral:rRNA from 1 species